UUACAAUAAUAAUAAUAAUAAUAAUUAAGUCAUAAUUAAUAAUAAAAGAGUAGCAGUGGUAGAUAUGGAGUCCUUGACCCAGGAGAAGUGUCCCUCUCCGGCAGGUUGAUGUUUGGAACGCGGGGCUACGGGAGGCUCACACCGGGGGGAGGGGCUCACCGGGAACAGACUGCGCGGGGAUCUCGUGCUCCUUGACGUGACUCUGCAGGGUGCUGGUGUUGCUGUACACCCGCUUGCAUCCGUGGAGCGGACACGGCGUCCUCUGGAUCCCUGCAACAGACAAACGGCGACACAUCAAGAGCCGACCCGACACGACCCAUCACGACCCGACCCGACACGACCCGACACAUCACGAGUUAGCUAGCACGCUAGCUACUAGUUAUUCGGCUGGCUAGGCUCGUCGCACACGCACACGCACACGGACACGCCUGUAACACCUGAGCUGAAGUUCACACCUGCUCCUCCGCCGUCCGCGCUCUGCAGCACCGAGCUGCCUGACGACAUGAUGGGACUGGGACCGUGGGUGUGAGUGGUCGUUCUCUGGGGCGACGACUGCGCAGGCAGGGAGGUCAGACGCGGACUACAGGAGCCACAAUGCAACGCGACAACCGCCCUGCUCUUCUUCGUGCACUGGCGAGGUCGCGACCACGCGGAGCACUAUCGCCGCCAACUGACUGAUUUAGAUCAUACUCCACUGGCUGCGCUCGAGGGGGAUUUUGGAGUGAUGGCGAGCUGUUGCCGGUCACAUUGCGGAGCACACUCUGGGUCUGUGCGACCGAUCUCCACCAGCCCCUCGUAGAGGCCCUUGGUCGGGUUCUCCCCCGCCACCCCGACCCCGUGGAGCCAGAUCAACAGCAUGCGGUGACCGUGCUCCUUGAAGCUUUUCAUCCCUAUGGGAUCAAUU